UACGUAGGCAGCAAGCGUUGUUCGGAAUUACUGGGCGUAAAGCGUGCGCAGGCGGUUUUGUAAGCCAGGUGUGAAAUCCCCGGGCUCAACCUGGGAAUGGCAUUUGGGACUGCAAGGCUGGAGUGUGGCAGAGGAGACUGGAAUUCCUGGUGUAGCAGUGAAAUGCGUAGAUAUCAGGAGGAAUACCGAUGGCGAAGGCAGGUCCCUGGGCUGACACUGACGCUCAUGCACGAAAGCGUGGGGAGCAAACGGG
rnacentral:rRNA from 1 species